GGCUGAAAUUCGCCUUCAUCGAAGCUGGAAUUGCUAGUAAUGGCAGGUCAGCAUACUGCCGUGAAUACGUUCCCGGGCCUUGUACACACCGCCCGUCACACCAUGAGAGUUGGGAAUACCCGAAGCCUGUGAGCUAACUUAUAGAGGCAGCAGUCGAAGGUAGAGCCAAUGAUUGGGGUGAAGUCGUAACAAGGUAUC
rnacentral:rRNA from 1 species